rnacentral:tRNA from 1 species
AGUCUUAUAUUCAAAUAUAUGAUAUUAGAUUGCAAAUCUAGAGGUGUUGAAAAACUAAGGCUU